AACGCACAUUGCGCCUUCUGGUAUUCCGGUAGGCAUGUCUGUUUGAGCGUCAGCAAAACCAAAUUUCGGCAUGGGUUGACGGACGGUCCACAGGAACGUUCUUCUCCCAUCGCUGGUGUUGGGCUUUCGGAGUCUGGCGAUAGGCCUGUACGUAUUUCGUGCGGUCCUUCCGUCCGCUUCCGCCUUAAACUUGCUGUACGAUCAAAGGUCUGACCGGCUUGGGCUAACGGAGUGGUAUUAAUCCCUUCUAAUCCGUAAUUACCCACCUUGACCUUUGGAGGUAUUAGAAAAGAGUGUACUGCUAAUUGUGAGUAUACCUCAGAGUUUUGACCUCAAAUCAGACAAGGAUACCCGCUGAACUUAA
rnacentral:misc_RNA from 1 species